UCAUUGCCAAUCAUUUGUCUAUAUCAUGUAGCCAUAGUAGCUAAAUAUUAAUGUUCGAUAUCAGCACUCAGCUUGCUGAUAAAAACAAACAUGCUUGAUCGAUUGAACAAAGCUGAGCUGAUCUGGGCUAGCUUUUUAAGAUUUCAGUUCAGUGUUUGUUUUUUUUUUCAUACUUCAAAUUUGUUGAAAUUUGGAAAAAACAAAAUUUCCAUCGCUUGGUAAGGACUGGCUGGACCUAGCCUUCGGGCGUGAAAGUAUCGAGUGCUUAAAACCUGCUAUUAAGUAGAAGGUUGUUCCUCUAUCUUCUCUCGCUGCAAUGGAUGAAGACAUGGUUGCUGAUGCCGACUCGAUCCUUUCUAUGGACUUUCCUCCACGUAUCCGUGACCCUCACUCUGCUAAAAGUUCGAUGCAUACCCUUUGAAACGGGGGAUUGGACCAGCAACCACUACCACUUCGACCACCACGUCUGCUAUCACGUCAGCCAAACCAUCAGCCUCUUAAUCGUCCAAUUACCACAUUGUGGAUACCGUUGGCACAUUCCUUGAAACUAGCCGCUGAAUCCAAGCAGGUCCAGAGGAGGAGCAGUAGUACUCGUUCGGAAGGACAAAUUCCACAACCACCAUAGCGAUGUGCAGUUGGGGCCGAUACAGCUUGAGGCGAUCAUGGUUUCAACAGGGGAGAUCCUCAUUGCCGCAGCCCCAUCGAUUCAAUGGAGACCUUAAUACGAUGCACAGGCUUUAGGGCAGUCACAGAGAAGACCGCAGAGGGAUGGCGCUGUAUGAUGCCCUAACCAAUUGCUUGGCACAAAUUUAGGCGACAGGAAGCCCCAUCUUCUACCCACCGAUUCAGAGAUACAUGCCCUCCUGCUGAGACUUCAUAUAUCAUCUAUCCCCAGCAAUCAACUCAUCAUCUGUAAAGAUCAUGACCUCAGCUCCGACCACCUGCCUCUCAUUGCUACAUUAUCGCCAACUCCGCAGACAAAUUCAGUCAUGACUAGGCUAGACUGUAGAUGUAGAUGUGGCGAUCGACACUCUUGUGGCCAAAGUCUGUGACACUUCUGCAGCCGCUGCCAUCUGCGGCCCUCAAGGCACUCGAACAUCGCAAACUGGAAGCCAUAGAGGCGGCACUUCAAGUGAGAUUGAGGGCCUGCACCCACUCGAAAUACGACUCAGACGCGAGUAUAUACGCACCAACCACCCAAAAGUUGGCAGAGUUUUCAGGAGUGGCAAACCAAGUAAGGAAAAAACUAGCCAUACAGAAGACCAAGAUCAUGGAUAGACAUCAAACGCAUACGACAGCAGACGCCAGCUCCAAGUAAGCUCUCUGGAAGUUGACAGGACACUGCAAGCAGCAACCUAGGCCUCGCUUUCCGGUUAUGAAGGCCUACGGCACAUGUAUGAGAUUAGCAAUAGGCAGAGCGGAGGACUUCGCGGCGAACCUUGAAGACAGGUUCACACGUUUCUGUACGAAUUCAAACAGAAGAUUUAAUAUGGUUACCGAGAGGCUGAAUGAGAGCAUUAGACAGUUAGCCCUAUGGCACCUAUCACUUUCCAUGAAAGCUCGGCAGACAAGAAUUGGAAGUUCAAGAAGGCCUUUGGCGAUGACAAAAUCGACAAUACCUGUUGAUGACCUUCAACGCAUUACUAAUCAGCCUCCUCUCGACUUUUGGCAAAUUACUUCAGCCUUGCAUCCUGCGAAGGGUUCUGGAUUUCAAGUCAAGAGAGUCACUCCAAACAACCAAUUUGAGUUCAGACUUAGGCAUGGCACACUGGAGCUGCAGUGGAGCACAUAUUCGACGGCUUACAAUAUGUGUGCGAAAACCUUAAAAAAGAGGAACUUGCCCUUAAGAUUUUCUUCAUGGCGAGCUGCUAGACCAACGGAGAUAACAUAAAUACCUAGGAGUCACGCUGGAUACCAGACUUACUUUUUCCAGCCACAUUAAGCCCUUAAUAUGUAACCUGGAAAGCAAGACAAGCAAAUAGUUCUGGCUGCUAAACGCUGUCAACAACAAAAUAUAAACAGGGUGCUCCAAAACAAAAUGUUACGCAAAUUUUGUGGAGCCGAUUGGUACAUUUACUGUAAAAGAGCACUAUUAAUUAUUAUUUACUCACCAUAAGUCGUACCUGACCACCCACCCUCCAAUUCGAUGACUAUUUUUUGGCCCCGCAUUUUCUUUUGCAAAAUAUUUGUAGCUGAAUUUUUUCCUUGACUGUUUCAUAAGUUUCUUCAAAAGUAAAAGUACACAACAUAACUGUA